UGCCAGACUCCUACGGGAGGCAGCAGUGAGGAAUAUUGGUCAAUGGUCGGGAGACUGAACCAGCCAAGCCGCGUGAGGGAGGAAGGUACAGAGUAUCGUAAACCUCUUUUGUCAGGGGACAAAGACUGGGACGCGUCCCCGGAUGAGUGUACCUGAAGAAAAAGCAUCGGCUAACUCCGUGCCAGCAGCCGCGGUAAUACGGAGGAUGCGAGCGUUAUCCGGAUUUAUUGGGUUUAAAGGGUGCGCAGGCGGUCUGUUAAGUCAGCGGUCAAAGCCCGGGGCUCAACCCCGUCGUGCCGUUGAAACUGGCGUUCUUGAGUGAGCGAGAAGUAUGCGGAAUGCGUGGUGUAGCGGUGAAAUGCAUAGAUAUCACGCAGAACUCCGAUUGCGAAGGCAGCGUACCGGCGCCAGACUGACGCUGAGGCACGAAAGCGUGGGGAUCGAACAGGAUUAGAUACCCGUGUA
rnacentral:rRNA from 1 species